rnacentral:rRNA from 1 species
CGGACUGGCGCACGGGUGCGUAACGCGUAUGCAACCUACCUUUAACAGGGGGAUAACACUGAGAAAUUGGUACUAAUACCCCAUAAUAUCAUAGAAGGCAUCUUUUAUGGUUGAAAAUUCCGAUGGUUAGAGAUGGGCAUGCGUUGUAUUAGCUAGUUGGUGGGGUAACGGCUCACCAAGGCGACGAUACAUAGGGGGACUGAGAGGUUAACCCCCCACACUGGUACUGAGACACGGACCAG